GGCUCAAUGGUCUAGUCGUAGGAUUCCACCUUCGGGUGGUGGAGGUCCCGGGUUCAAAUCCCGGUUGAGCCC